rnacentral:rRNA from 1 species
UACGGGGGGGGGCAAGCGUUGUUCGGAAUUACUGGGCGUAAAGGGCUCGUAGGCGGCCAACUAAGUCAUACGUGAAAUCCCUCGGCUUAACCGGGGAACUGCGUCUGAUACUGGAUGGCUUGAGUUCGGGAGAGGGAUGCGGAAUUCCAGGUGUAGCGGUGAAAUGCGUAGAUAUCAGGAGGAACACCGGUGGCGAAGGCGGAUCUCUGGGCCUUACCUGACGCUGAGGCGCGAAAGCUAGGGGAGCAAACAGG